rnacentral:misc_RNA from 1 species
GGGCUUCAAAAGGGUGAAGGAGAUAGAUAGAAGAAAGUGAAAGGGUGGAACUCGCUGCUAUCGAAAAUCGGUUAAUCUUGUUGCUCAAAGUUGAAGAGUUUUUGGAAAUCUUGGAACAUUACACUCCUUAGCGUCAAUUUUAGACCACCACAUUAUGUGGAAUUUUGCAUCCAAUUGUGUAGCUGGGAAUAUUGGGCUAAAGAAUGAGAUUCUGAGGCGUACUCAGCAUUCAGCAGAUGGCUCAGACGAUGAAACCUCUUCAAGAACCAGCAGGGAGGAGGGACUUGAGUGUCCAAUAUGCUGGGAAUCUUUCAACAUU